UACGUAGGGUGCGAGCGUUGUCCGGAAUUAUUGGGCGUAAAGAGCUCGUAGGUGGGUUUGUCGCGUUGUUCGUGAAAACCGGGGGCUUAACCCUCGGCGUGCGGGCGAUACGGGCAGACUUGAGUACUGCAGGGGAGACUGGAAUUCCUGGUGUAGCGGUGGAUGACGCAGAGUAUCAGGAGGAACACCGGUGGCGAAGGCGGGUCUCUGGGCAGUAACUGACGCUGGAGGAGCGAAAGCAUGGGGAGCGAACAGG
rnacentral:rRNA from 1 species